ACUCCUACGGGAGGCAGCAGUAGGGAAUUUUCCACAAUGGACGAAAGUCUGAUGGAGCAACGCCGCGUGUGCGAAGAAGGCCUUCGGGUUGUAAAGCACUGUUGUAAGGGAAGAAUAGGUAUGAUAGGAAAUGAUCAUACUGUGACGGUACCUUACCAGAAAGCCACGGCUAACUACGUGCCAGCAGCCGCGGUAAUACA
rnacentral:rRNA from 1 species